CGAUGCUCUAUUGCUCUCGGAAUCAACGAAACUGCUUAUUAUUACAAUAUACUCGCUAAACACCAUGGUAUAUUAUAUUGUAUAGAGUAUAGACAGUAAGUGUAACAGUACAUGAAACGCAACCGUUAAGUGCAUAUAUUCGUCUUGUGUAUUAUAAAUGGAAAUGUUCGGUUAAACAUUUAGCCACGCAGACGAUUACAAAAUACAGGAAUCGUUUGAAUGGCGCGCGUAAGACAGAAAAUCACUCAUUGUCGUGACCCCGCGGUAAACUUUACAAGGCACUUUUCGAUAGCAUUUGCUUCACCUAUAUUGUAUAUGUGACAAGUAUAAUAACAAUAUGAUAUACCUACUCGUGUAAAAGGG